UACUAGCAGCUAUUUCUUCUCACGAAGAAAUGAGUGAAAGAGCUAGAUAAAUUGCUUGCUCUCAUAUGAGCAAAUACCACACCCAACCUCAUUCCCUUUGGGUCGGGGUUCCGGAUGGUUCAGAGGAGGUAUUAUUAAUUAACCUUUAUAUGUUAAUUUGAGAAAGAAUUAGUUCUUUACAAUUUUAGAUAAGGCCACACUUGCCAGGCCUGGGAAAGUAUGUGCCAGCUCCAGCGGUCACACAUACGGGCCAAAUCAUCUGUUAACAAGCUUCACUUAUUUUCAAAUCAGUAAUUAAAAGGUUAAAUUUAUACUUUACUGUGUAAAUUAAGCGUUAACUACGAGUGGUAAACUUAAGAAUUAAACUAGGAUUAGAUACCCUACUAUUCUAAGCCUAAUAGUAAAGCUUAGAGAGUAACAGUUACGGUCUCGAAAUCAAGAUCUAAUGGCAGUUAAAUAUCUAAUCAGAGGCCUAUGCUGCUAAUCGAUGUCACACGAAAAUCUUACCUUAUCCUUAAAUCUUGUACACCGCUGUCGGAAGGUGAUAGCUUUUUCAUUCACCUGUUCUCUUAUUAGGGAGUAAGUCAAGUCAAGGUGCAGCCUAUGGAAAGGUCACAGUGUAGGUUAUAAUUUAACCCUUUCUCCUUUCAAGGGGGUCUGGGUUCCAAAUUUGAUAGUAAUGUCAUAGAUUUAAUAAUAAUCUUUUAAAUAAGUAAUAUUUUUUGUACAAAUCGCCCGUCACUCCGUAUAAUAGCGGAUAAGUCGUAACAUAGUUGUCCUACUGGAAAGUGGGACAAGUUACUACUGCUAAGCAGUGAGUUAGGGGUGACGGGAUGCUCUUCUUUCUCUCUAUUAAGAGCAUUAUUAAAAAUAA
rnacentral:rRNA from 1 species